AUCAGAGCCCUAUUUUGGAGUUCUGCCUUAUCUAUUUUAGUCCCUUCUUUUAAAAACUGUUUUUUUUCUAAAUUUAAUUGGCUUUCUUACAGGUAGCAAGGAGUUUCUGUUGAUUACCUACAUGCCUGGCUUAAAAGCUAAAGGACAAAAGGGUGACUACAGCCUCUUUCCAGACAUUCCCCGUUGUCUUGAUAAAUUUUGCUAAAUAAUAGCUGAUGAGAGUAUUUAUAUCUUGACUAAAAUGACUUGCACAUAAUGACUCUACCCCUCCAGAAAGAAUCUCAGGAAAAUGCUCGAAUCACCCCCAGAAGAGGAAACCUCAGAUUUACAUGCUGACCACUUGUGACACCAGCGUGCUGUAUCCCCACAUAGGCAAUGCUCUGUGCCGCCUUUGCCUGCAGCAACCUCUGUUGCGUGUUUGUUGUUGUUGUUCGUUCUUGAACAAAACAGUGCUGAGACAUGGUUGGUGCUGUUCAGCCAGGCUUCCUGAGGGCUCUGGAACACCAGGAGAGAUAUCAGCCAGCUUUUUUCUGACAAGCAAAAAUGCCUUAACUCUGUCACCCUGGAAAGUACGGCGCUUUUUGGUAAGUUUUAUUUUUUUUUCCUUGCAGGAUGCUCCAGGGGUAAGGCUAUGUCAAAGUUGGAUAUACAAACAAAUUUAAAAAAAGAAAACUUUGUUCCCUUUACUCUUCUUGGCAAAGGCUGUUUCUUGGUUAUGUUGGAUAUUACUAUGUGUGUUGUUGGAGAAAAAAAAAAUAAAAAAACAACUCUCUUAAAAUAAUUUCAUUCUAGCAUUGAUGCUGCUUCUCUGUUUAGAUUCCACUAUGAAUAUUUUAGUUAAACUAAAAUUCUUUUAUGUUUCCUAUUUUCCUUCUGAAAACAAUGUUUGGUGAGGACUGUUGAUGUUUUAGCUGGUCGUUGUAAGCUAAGACAUAGCGGGCUGAUUGGUGACCUUGUCUUGCUUUUGGCUGGGCUUGCUUUAGCCUGGUGUGGCCAGGUUUCAGCAGUUGUUUUCCUGUUUUGACAUUUAUGGUCACUCUGCUGCUUCUAAACAUGCAGACACUUACUGCUAAAUCCUUGGCACUCCUGUUUUUAUUCCCUCCAUCCUCCAACUCUCAAAUAUAUAGAUGACUCUUCUGAAAAUAUGGACAAAUUGGGUCAAGUUGACUUGUGAGUUCUGUUUGUGGUACAAAGAAAAAGAAAAUUAAACAGGGAAAUUUCAGACAUGAAAGAAAAAUGUGGAAAAGCAGCGAGAGCUUGUAUGAAGAGUAAUGAUGUCGUCACUGGAAGAAUCAGGUGGGUUUUAAAUAACAUAAAUGAGCAGAGAAGAGACACUAAUAGAGAAAAACAAAAGUCACAAGACGUGCUCAGCUCCAGCAUGUUGGCCAGCACCUCUCUCAGCUCCAGUUCUGUUUCCAAAGACAUGAAAGACCUGGGGGAGCUCAAAAACCAAGUGGUGUGGAAUUGUGGACAGGUCUUAUUAGGAAGAGUAAGAAUUUGUUGUAGAGCUAAAAAAACUGUGAACUCUGGGACAGAGCUAUAGUGUUCUGUUUUAAAUUAAAAUAAACUCCAAUGAUAAGCUUCAGUUAUCUCAGCAGGAGUUUAAUAUAUUGAUUAAACAUACUUAACUAAUUAUUCCAUGUCAUUUUUUAUCUGAAACGUUUAAAAAUUGUAAAAUAAAAUGACAUUCAUUAAAUGAAAGUUAGAAACAGUAUCACUUACUGUGGCACGUCUGUAAAAUACAUAAAUAAUAAUUUAUUCGGGACUUGUUAAUACUUCCAAGUGAUGAUAAUAAUCCACCAUAUUUUAUUUAUUUUUUCCUUUACA